UACGGGGGGUGCGAGCGUUGUCCGGAAUCACUGGGCGUAAAGGGCGCGUAGGCGGCCCGCUAAGUCGAACGUGAAAUCCCCAGGCUCAACCUGGGAACUGCGUCCGAUACUGGCAGGCUUGAAUCCGGGAGAGGGAUGUGGAAUUCCAGGUGUAGCGGUGAAAUGCGUAGAUAUCUGGAGGAACACCGGUGGCGAAGGCGGCAUCCUGGACCGGUAUUGACGCUGAGGCGCGAAAGCUAGGGGAGCAAACGGG
rnacentral:rRNA from 1 species